rnacentral:rRNA from 1 species
UGGGCGUAAAGAGCUCGUAGGUGGUUUGUCGCGUUGUUCGUGAAAUCUCACGGCUUAACUGUGAGCGUGCGGGCGAUACGGGCAGACUUGAGUACUGCAGGGGAGACUGGAAUUCCUGGUGUAGCGGUGGAAUGCGCAGAUAUCAGGAGGAACACCGGUGGCGAAGGCGGGUCUCUGGGCAGUAACUGACGCUGAGGAGCGAAAGCGUGGGGAGCGAACAGGAUUAGAUACCCUGGUAGUCCACGCCGUAAACGGUGGGUACUAGGUGUGGGUUUCCUUCCUUGGGAUCCGUGCCGUAGCUAACGCAUUAAGUACCCCGCCUGGGGAGUACGGCCGCAAGGCUAAAACUCAAAGAAAUUGACGGGGGCCCGCACAAGCGGCGGAGCAUGUGGAUUAAUUCGAUGCAACGCGAAGAACCUUACCUGGGUUUGACAUGCACAGGACGCCGGCAGAGAUGUCGGUUCCCUUGUGGCCUGUGUGCCGGUGGUGCAUCGGCGUGUCGUCAGCUUCGUGUUCGUGACGAUGCUUGCGGUUAAGUCCCGCAACGAGCNNGCAACCCCUUGUUCUCAUGCUUGCCAGCGCGGUAAUGCCGGGGACUCGUGAGAGACUGCGCGGGGUCAACUCGGACGGAACGGUGGGGAUGACGUCAAGUCAUCAUGCCCCUUAUGUCCAGGGCUUCACACAUGCUACAAUGGCCGGUACAAAGGGCUGCGAUGCCGCGAGGUUAAGCGAAUCCUUUUAAAGCCGGUCUCAGUUCGGAUCGGGGUCUGCAACUCGACCCCGUGAAGUCGGAGUCGCUAGUA